GAUUAGAGAUGUGCGGGCCGACCUAUUUUCAAAACCCGACCCAGCCCGGCCCAGACUAAUUUUUAAUGCCCGAGCCCGACCCGACCCGAGAAUUUUGUAGUAAAACCCGGCCCGGCCCGACUCGGCCCGUAUAUUUUUUAUUGAGCGAAAAAACCUAAAAUUGGCUCGGCUAACAAGUGGAAAUCGUUCGGUUACCUAUCGUUAUAAUAAUGUAGUCUCACAAAUCUAUCGAACACUUGAAAGGAAGCUUACUCUCGGACUGUAUUGCAAUUUUUCUUUAAAUUUUUCUUUAAGUUUUCACAUUUUUUUAAAAGAUGAACAAAGUCGGGCCAGCCCGAAUCUUUGUUUUUGAAACCCGAGCCCGCCCGAGCCCGACUAAUUUUUGAAACCCGGACCCAAGCCCGGUCGGGCCGGGCUGGGCCGGGUCGGGUAGAUGAAUUUCGGGCGGCCCGCACAUCUCUAGUUUAGGGUCGGUCU